rnacentral:lncRNA from 1 species
UUCUCUUCCCCCUUCCUUCCCUACCUCCCCACCUGAAUGUAACUAUACUUUGCACAGUCCUCCUAUCCUUAUUCUUUCCCACCUCAGUAUACCUCUACCUCAAAAUCCCAGCCUUCUUCUGUCACUCCCCAGACCCUUAAAUCACCUCCUGACAUUUCUACCUUCCCACACUCUGCCUAAAAUCUCUAGCCCACCACCCCCCAGACACAACUUUUCCCCUGCCCUGCCUCUCUACCUCAUACCUACAUCCACAUCUUUCCCCAUCCCCUGACCUAUAUAUCAUGUCCACUCCCACCCCUGCCUUCUGUCAGGUCCCAGCAGCCUGACCUGCUCCUUAAGAGGCAAGGCAGAGAGUUGCUGAGCGGCUCACUCCUGCGGCACAGUGCAACAGCGUGCGGCCAUUUCUCAUUUCCACACCGUGGAUGUGAUCAGCUAUGGGGUCGAAAAAGUCAUAGAGAGACAUUGAUGAUCGUGGUGAUAUGGUUGUUGGACAAGAGAAAGAAGUUAACUAGAUGGCAGUCGGGGGAAGUGGAAAGAUGGUUCAGGAGCCUAUAUGGAUCAGACUGAAACUGAAUCAAUAUCCCCAUAUCAGCCCUCAAGCAAGAAAUUGUGAAAAUUGAUCGCAAUAGGAAUUGAAGGAGGAGAAGGAGAAGGAAAGAAGAAGAAGAAGAAGAAGAAGAAGAAGAAGAAGAAGAAGAAGAAGAAGAAGAAGAAGAAGAAAAAGAAGAAGAAGAAGAAAAAGAAGGAGAAAAAGAAGAAGAAAAAGAAGAGGAAAAAGGAGAAAAAGAAAACAACAGCAACAACAACAACCAUGAUGACAACAACAACAACAAUAGCAAUAGUUGGUGGCCUUUGUCUUUAAUCCCAGCACUUGUUUGGUAGAGGCAGGAAGAUCUUCUAUGCAUUUGAGGUCAACUGGAACUGCAUAGCAAGUUUAGUGAGGAUUCUAUCUCAAAAAUAAGACAAAACAAAAGCAGGGGGGAUCACAGUCCAUCAUUGAGGGAAGUCAAGUCAAGAACCUUAACUUUGUAUUGCCUGCCUCAUGUCCAGGUUCCAUACAGCAUGAUCUGGCAUGAGUUUUGGAGCAUGGCCCUGGAUCUCCAAGAGAAUGUAUUGAAUGUAACAGAUUUGUUAAGCAGAACCAUUGUUUCCAGGCCUCUAUCAUUGAAGGAGGAGAAGCAGCAAUCCAGGAGCAUUCCAAGUUUUAUGCACUGGAUAGCAAUUGCUGAGGUACCCACACAACAUAAUAGGUUGAGCAACUGCGUAGUUAGCCUCUCAGGAAUUCUGUUCCUUUAGAGAUCCCUGACCAAUCCAGCACCUGAGAAAUAACAAUUGAGAAGUAACAGGAUGCUGCUGCCUGCUGAGACACCUUUGAGACAAUCCACAUUGAGUGGCAACUUCGGACUGGAUCCAGGCACCUGGAUGGACUGGCCGGGGAGGGGGGGUGGGCUUACCCCCUAUAUAAGUUUAGACUCUAAACUUUAAAGUGCCUUGAACAGAG